UGCAGUCGACGGUGUAGCAGGAGCUUGCUCUUGUGGAUCAGUGGCGAACGGGUGAGUAACACGUGAGCAACCUGCCCCUGACUCUGGGAUAAGCGCUGGAAACGGCGUCUAAUACUGGAUAUGUGACGUGACCGCAUGGUCUGCGUUUGGAAAGAUUUUUCGGUUGGGGAUGGGCUCGCGGCCUAUCAGCUUGUUGGUGAGGUAAUGGCUCACCAAGGCGUCGACGGGUAGCCGGCCUGAGAGGGUGACCGGCCACACUGGGACUGAGACACGGCCCAGACUCCUACGGGAGGCAGCAGUGGGGAAUAUUGCACAAUGGGCGAAAGCCUGAUGCAGCAACGCCGCGUGAGGGAUGACGGCCUUCGGGUUGUAAACCUCUUUUAGCAGGGAAGAAGCGAAAGUGACGGUACCUGCAGAAAAAGCGCCGGCUAACUACGUGCCAGCAGCCGCGGUAAUACGUAGGGCGCAAGCGUUAUCCGGAAUUAUUGGGCGUAAAGAGCUCGUAGGCGGUUUGUCGCGUCUGCUGUGAAAUCCCGAGGCUCAACCUCGGGCCUGCAGUGGGUACGGGCAGACUAGAGUGCGGUAGGGGAGAUUGGAAUUCCUGGUGUAGCGGUGGAAUGCGCAGAUAUCAGGAGGAACACCGAUGGCGAAGGCAGAUCUCUGGGCCGUAACUGACGCUGAGGAGCGAAAGGGUGGGGAGCAAACAGGCUUAGAUACCCUGGUAGUCCACCCCGUAAACGUUGGGAACUAGUUGUGGGGUCCAUUCCACGGAUUCCGUGACGCAGCUAACGCAUUAAGUUCCCCGCCUGGGGAGUACGGGCCGCAAGGCUAAAACUCAAAGGAAUUGACGGGGACCCGCACAAGCGGCGGAGCAUGCGGAUUAAUUCGAUGCAACGCGAAGAACCUUACCAAGGCUUGACAUAUACGAGAACGGGCCAGAAAUGGUCAACUCUUUGGACACUCGUAAACAGGUGGUGCAUGGUUGUCGUCAGCUCGUGUCGUGAGAUGUUGGGUUAAGUCCCGCAACGAGCGCAACCCUCGUUCUAUGUUGCCAGCACGUAAUGGUGGGAACUCAUGGGAUACUGCCGGGGUCAACUCGGAGGAAGGUGGGGAUGACGUCAAAUCAUCAUGCCCCUUAUGUCUUGGGCUUCACGCAUGCUACAAUGGCCGGUACAAAGGGCUGCAAUACCGUGAGGUGGAGCGAAUCCCAAAAAGCCGGUCCCAGUUCGGAUUGAGGUCUGCAACUCGACCUCAUGAAGUCGGAGUCGCUAGUAAUCGCAGAUCAGCAACGCUGCGGUGAAUACGUUCCCGGGUCUUGUACACACCGCCCGUCAAGUCAUGAAAGUCGGUAACACCUGAAGCCGGUGGCCUAACCCUUGUGGAGGGAGCCGUUGAAGGUGGGUUCGGUAAUAGGAGUAAGUCGA
rnacentral:rRNA from 1 species